rnacentral:misc_RNA from 1 species
CAUUUUCGUUUUUUCCCCCCCGGGGGGGCCCGGUGUUUCGGCUCAAAACCCCUAGGGAUUUGCCGGGGGUGUCGGGCUCGGAAAGAGUUUUCCGAAGAGAAAUCACGGGCCCCGGGAGUCCAUCGGGAUCGAAAGUUAUUGAGAAAUCCCGAUUUUUGUUUUUUGUUGUAUGGAAGUAGCGGUCUUUUAAAUGCUCGGAAAUUGCGGGACGGGCCCUUGAAAGAGGGAAGUUGAACGCUGCAGGCAUUUCUCGAGAAGAGACUUCAAGUAAAUUUGCAAUGCAUAACAUGAC